rnacentral:lncRNA from 1 species
CACCCUUAACCGUGAAUUAGCUCUAUUAAUCUGGUUAACCUUUAACUUGAGCGUUAUCGACCAGUCGGAAGACUAUUAUAUUCUUUUAUUGUUUCUCUACUAACUAUUAAAUCAAUUUUUGUAAUGUGUAGAGAAAUAUGUGAAAAAGAAAUGUUUAAAGUAACAAAGAUGAUAUAUAUGAAUUUUGUCUCUUUUGUUAUAAGUGAUAUGUUGU